rnacentral:snRNA from 1 species
GUGCUCACUUUGGCAGCACAUACACUAGAAUUGGAACGAUACAGAGAAGAUUAGCAUGGCCCCUGCACAAGGAUGACACACAAAAUACACAGGGACAAAGUGCUUUC